rnacentral:lncRNA from 1 species
AAUAAAAAAACAAUAAUUUAAAAGCUCAAAAUUAUUAAAAAAAUAUUUUUUAAACAAAAAAUAACCAUCGGCGCGAGCACUUUUUCCCGGGGAAUUUUUUUUUCUGCCGCAAAAUAAUGACCAGCUGCUUGGCCGCUAGGUAUUUUUUCCAAAUUUACACUACCAGACGACAGGCCACCAGGAGAUAAUUUCAAAAAAAUAUCUACCAGCGGCUUGGCCGCUGGUCGGGAUCAUUUCCGUUUAAAUCGGAAUCCACAAUUUAUUGCCAACGGCCUAGCCGCCAGGAUAUUACAAAGAUGACAUAAUUUCGACUUGGCCGCCAGGACUCAUUAUACCGGCGACCUGGCCGCCGGUAUAACAAAGCUAGUUUUUUGUAGUUACUUCUGUGACUCACAGAUUACAACACUCAUAGUCGAGAAAAAAAUAAACCGAAGAUCAAGGAAAUAGUUCACGAUUUUCCUGUGAUCGCAAGAACUGAUUUGGUUACUCGAACUGAUUUGAAGAAGUAUUUGGCAGCGGAAACACUUGCAAUUUUUUCGACAAAUGUUGUCGUCGAACUCUGCAGUUAUCGUCGAAUUCUGAAGAUCUGGCAAUCUCUUGAUGAAAAACGAAUUGGACGUAAUUGCGAUCUGAUGAACCGAAAUCGUAAAUCGCGAUUUGAACUGGAAUCGGAAAUCGGAGAUCAAGAAUGUAAUACGGAAACACAAUAAUCUGAAUCACGAUCUGGACUCGUAGUAGUGUGAAUGCGAUAGGUGAUCUGAUGAUUCUGGAACGUGUCUGGAGUGAAGACCGCAGAUGAUUCUCGAGACGGAAGUUCCGUCCGAUUCUGGAAUGAAAUCGCGAAUGAUUCUGGACCGUGUCUGAUGAUCGAAAGUUGCGUCUGAUGAUCCGGCGAUGCUGAUGAUUUUGACCUCGAGAAUGAUUCUGAAAAUUGCGAGAUGAAGUCGCGUUGUCUGGACACAUGAAAUCGUUGUUCACGUCCGUAUAAAUCGUAAGCCAGAAAACGCGAAGAUUCGGAGACUCACCGAAAACGGAAAUCGCGAUUUGAACUGGAAUCUGGAUCACAACUGACUCGGGCAGAAUGCGUCGCAAGAUCGCAACUGGAAUUUGCGCAAUCGAUUUGAAGAGAAAUCUGGAACGCGGAACCUGCCCUAUCGGUUUGAAGAGAAAUCUGGAACGCGGAACUGGAAGAUUGUUGCACAACCUGCACAAUCUUCGUCUGCGCGGAACUGGAUUGCUGUUCUAGUAGAUGAAGAACGCAAGAAAAAGGUGCAUUAUCUCUGGUAGAAGUCCUGCUCUCGAUACCAUAUUGUAAUGUGAUUGUGUGUGAGCAUGAAUUUGAGUUUAUUAUUAGUAU